rnacentral:rRNA from 1 species
UUUAUUGGAGAGUUUGAUCCUGGCUCAGGAUGAACGCUGGCGGCGUGCCUAAUACAUGCAAGUCGAGCGAAUGGAUUAAGAGCUUGCUCUUAUGAAGUUAGCGGCGGACGGGUGAGUAACACGUGGGUAACCUGCCCAUAAGACUGGGAUAACUCCGGGAAACCGGGGCUAAUACCGGAUAACAUUUUGAACCGCAUGGUUCGAAAUUGAAAGGCGGCUUCGGCUGUCACUUAUGGAUGGACCCGCGUCGCAUUAGCUAGUUGGUGAGGUAACGGCUCACCAAGGCAACGAUGCGUAGCCGACCUGAGAGGGUGAUCGGCCACACUGGGACUGAGACACGGCCCAUACUCCUACGGGAGGCAGCAGUGGGGAAUCUUCCGCCAUGGACGAAAGUCUGACGGGAGCAACGCCGCGUGAGUGAUGAAGUCUUUCGGGUC